AUUGAACGCUGGCGGCAGGCCUAACACAUGCAAGUCGAGCGGAUGACGGGAGCUUGCUCCUUGAUUCAGCGGCGGACGGGUGAGUAAUGCCUAGGAAUCUGCCUGGUAGUGGGGGACAACGUUUCGAAAGGAACGCUAAGACCGCGUACGUCCUACGGGAGAAAGCAGGGGACCUUCGGGCCUUGCGCUAUCAGAUGAGCCUAGGUCGGAUUAGCUAGUUGGUGAGGUAAUGGCUCACCAAGGCGACGAUCCGUAACUGGUCUGAGAGGAUGAGCAGUCACACUGGAACUGAGAAACGGUCCAGACUCCUACGGGAGGCAGCAGUGGGGAAUAUUGGACAAUGGGCGAAAGCCUGAUCCAGCCAUGCCGCGUGUGUGAAGAAGGUCUUCGGAUUGUAAAGCACUUUAAGUUGGGAGGAAGGGUUGUAGAUUAAUACUCUGCAAUUUUGACGUUACCGACAGAAUAAGCACCGGCUAACUCUGUGCCAGCCGCCGCAGUAACAC
rnacentral:rRNA from 1 species